rnacentral:rRNA from 1 species
CUACGGGGGGCUGCAGUGGGGAAUAUUGCGCAAUGGAGGAAACUCUGACGCAGCCAUGCCGCGUGAGUGAAGAAGGCCUUAGGGUUGUAAAGCUCUUUCAGAUGUGAUGAUGAUGACAGUAGCAUCAGAAGAAGUUCCGGCUAACUUCGUGCCAGCAGCCGCGGUAAUACGAAGGGAACUAGCGUUGUUCGGAUUUACUGGGCGUAAAGAGCAUGUAGGCGGAUUGGUCAGUUGGGGGUGAAAGCCCGGAGCUCAACUCCGGAACUGCCUUCAAUACUGCCAGUCUAGAGUCCGUAAGGGGGUGGUGGAAUUCCGAGUGUAGAGGUGAAAUUCGUAGAUAUUCGGAGGAACACCAGUGGCGAAGGCGACCCCCUGGUACGGUACUGACGCUGAGAUGCGAAAGCGUGGGGAGCAAACAGGAUUAGAUACCCCCGUAGUC